rnacentral:rRNA from 1 species
GACGAACGCUGGCGGCGUGCUUAACACAUGCAAGUCGAACGGAAAGGCCCCUUUCGGGGGGUACUCGAGUGGCGAACGGGUGAGUAACACGUGGGUGAUCUGCCCCUGACUUUGGGAUAACUUCGGGAAACUGGGGCUAAUACCGGAUAGGACCUUGUGGUGGGUGGUGGGGUGGGGAGAGUAGUGGCGGUUGGGGAUGGGCUCGCGGCCUAUCAGCUUGUUGGUGGGGUAGUGGCUUACCAAGGCGUUGACGGGUAGCCGGCCUGAGAGGGUGAGCGGCCAUAGUGGCACUGAGACGGGGCCCAGACUCCCACGGGAGGGAACAGGGGGGAAUAUUGCACGAGGGGUGGAGGCCGGGUGCCGCAGCGCCGUGGGCGGGAAGACGGUCUUCGUGGUGAAAACCUCUUGCGCACGUGACGGAGCUUUGUGUGACGGUAGUGGGUAAAGAAGCACCGGCUAACUACGUG